rnacentral:rRNA from 1 species
GACGAACGCUGGCGGCGUGCUUAACACAUGCAAGUCGAACGAAGAGCGCUGGAUGCUUGCUUCUAUCAAUCUUAGUGGCGAACGGGUGAGUAACGCGUAAUCAACCUGCCCUUCAGGGGGGGACAACAGUUGGUAACGACUGCUACUACCGCAUACGCCCUCUUCUCGGCAUCGAGGAUAGAUGUAAGGUGGCUUCUACAUGUAAGCUAUCACUGCAGGAUGUGAUUGCGGCUGUUUAGUAAGAAGGAGGGGUAGCGGCCCACCAAGGCGAUGAUCAGUAGCCGGACGGAGUGGAUGGACGGCCACAUUGAGACGGAGACACGGCCCAGACGCCUACGGAAGGCAGCAGUGGGGAAUCUGCCGCAAGGGACGAAAGUCUGACGGAGCAACGCCGCGUGAGUGAUGACGGCCGUCGCGUGGUAAAGCUCUGUUAAUCGGGACGAAAGGCCUUCUUGCGAACAGUUAGAAGGAUUGACGGUAACGGAAUAGAAAGCCACGGCUAACUACGUG